GGGUAUUUUUUAUUGAAAGGUCUUUUUCCUUCAAUAAUGGACAUUUUACAUUAAAACUUUAUACAACCAAAAUCUCAAAAUAAUAUUAAAAUCACACUAAGGUAUUUUCAUUGUUAAGUCUACUACAUUUUAUUGUUGAUAAAAAUAUUGCAAGACACUUGUAAUUCUAAUGUUUCUGCUUUAAAAUAAGCAAUUAAAACUAAAUGUCACAAGAAGAGACAAUACAUACUACAAUUUGCUAAUAACUGGCUAAAAUGAUAAUUUAAUAGUAACAUGUAUAAGAAACAAUUGCACUUGAAAAAAAAGUAAACAAAAAACCUCUAGUUUUGUAUAUUUAAGUCUUAUGAACAGAGGUUAAUCAUCUAUAACCUUGCCAGAAGUGUAUAUUUGUU
rnacentral:lncRNA from 1 species